ACUGCUCUGAAUGGGCUGAUUGAAAUUAC
rnacentral:piRNA from 1 species